rnacentral:rRNA from 1 species
AUGGCCAAGGACAAAGAGACCGGCGUGCGGCCUUUGUGCGCCGCUGGUGAUAGGAGAGCCAUGCCUCUCGAGACUUGCCACCUCGUCGCUCUGCUCCUCUUGCUACUCAUGGCUACUGGUCGCUGCCUCGCGGCCACCGGCGGUGGCGGCACCGAUGACGGUCGGGAGUUCGCCUACAACGGCUUCACAGGCGCGAACCUGACGCUCGAUGGCGCCGCCUUCACACCGGAUGGCCUCCUCAUGCUGACCAACGGCACCACUCAGGCAAAAGGCCAGGCCUUCCACCCGUCCCCGCUGCCGUUCCGCGUCGAGGCGAACGCCACCGGUGCCGCACGGUCCUUCUCCACUACUUUCGUCUUUGCCAUCUACGGGCAGUCCGCCAACCUAAGCAGCCCCGGCAUGGCCUUCUUCGUUUCCGAAUCCAAUGAGGUGAUCUCCACUGCGAUGCCAGGCCAGUUCUUGGGCCUCCUCAACCACACCGAUGGAGGUAACCGGAGCGAGCACAUCUUUGCCGUGGAGUUCGAUACGCUCUUCAACGACGACUUCCGCGACAUCAACAACAACCACGUCGGAGUCGACGUCGAUAGCUUGGUGUCGGUCGUAUCCGCAGUGCCCGGGUGUGGGUGGACUACGACGGCCGGGCCACACAGGUCAACGUGA